UACAGAGGCCUCGAGCGUUAGGCGGAAUCACUGGGCUUAAAGCGUGUGUAGGCGGACUUGUAAGUACCUUGUGAAAUCCCACGGCUUAACCGUGGAACUGCUUGGUAUACUGCUCGUCUUGGGCCACUUAGGGGUCACUGGAACAAAUGGUGGAGCGGUGAAAUGCGUAGAUAUCAUUUGGAACGCCAAAGGUGAAAACAGGUGACUGGGAGUGUGCCGACGCUGAGACACGAAAGCCAGGGGAGCAAAGCGGG
rnacentral:rRNA from 1 species